GACGAACGCUGGCGGCGUGCUUAACACAUGCAAGUCGAGCGGUAAGGCCCUUCGGGGUACACGAGCGGCGAACGGGUGAGUAACACGUGGGUGACCUGCCCUUAGCUCUGGGAUAAGCCUGGGAAACUGGGUCUAAUACCGGAUAUGACCUCAUGACGCAUGUUGUGGGGUGGAAAGCCUUGUGCGGCUAGGGAUGGGCCCGCGGCCUAUCAGCUUGUUGGUGGGGUGAUGGCCACCAAGGCGACGACGGUAGCCGGCCUGAGAGGGCGACCGGCCACACUGGGACUGAGACACGGCCCAGACUCCUACGGGAGGCAGCAGUGGGGAAUCUUGCGCAAUGGGCGAAAGCCUGACGCAGCGACGCCGCGUGAGGGAUGACGGCC
rnacentral:rRNA from 1 species